UGGUUUUGCGCCUAAGUGUCCAAUGUAAAAGAUAUAAAAUGUUUAUUAUAUUCUUUUAUAACAAAAGUAAGAUCUGAGUCUGUGUCUCUCCACCUUCAAACCCAAAAUCGAUAUCUUCCUAUGUGCAUCUCAGAUCCGUUUCUUACAACCCAAAUUCUUCUCUUUUAGCUCUUCCUUUCAUAAACAAUAGUUGCCUCCGGUUUCGUCUUUCUCACCGGCGCUGCUUGAUGUGAGUGAGAAUUCAGCAACACUUCAUCACUCAAUCAAUCUCUCUCGAAAUUGAUGUUUGUUUUCUCGACGACCGUUUCCCAAUAUCCGAAAUCGAUCUCCGUCUCUUCCCACAGUUUCAGCAUCACUGAGAAGCAGCAUAGAAGCAGUCACAAUAACGAACCCUCUAUCCCAACAUACGAGAAACCAAUUCGGUUUCGGAUCUGAAUAUCAUCUCCAGAUCGAGAAGAGAAACUGGUUACCGUCGGAGAAGGUGGGUCGUGCCUAGAAUCAAACGGUGGUGAUGCUACAGCUGUAGCCACGAAGCCUAGAGGAGAUGGAGAGGACCCAGAGCAACCAAAUCUUUGAGCUGUGUUAAACUCUGAUAUUGUUAGGGAAAAGCCUAAUGUUAAGCGUGGACAGAUGUUGCUGGGCUUGAAGGUGCUAAACAAGCUUUGAAGGAAGCUGUGAUUUUGCCUGUCAAGUUCCCACAGUUCUUCACCGGUGAAUGUUUCUACUUUCAAUUUUCAAAUUGAUGUGAAUUAGUGGUGAGGACUGCGAGAAAUCUGAUUGUGGUGACAGUUGAGUUCAAGGAGACCAUGUAAGUCACUUACCUAUCUCGUGCUACUUACGUUUUUAACUUUGCUAGGGCGGAUAAUGAGCAAGCCAUCUUCCGCUUGAAAGCUUUUAUUCUAUGAACUACACAUUGGUGAUUAUAAUGUCGAACUUAUGGCUGAUAUAAGGUGAAUGUUUUGUUUAUCCGAUUCUCUACUUGUUUUAUAGAUAACUUUAGUGUUGAUUCUACUCACCCAUAAGUCUCUGAUUUUUGAGUUUGAGCUAAAAUUUCUUUAUUUGAUCUGUCAACGUUUUGGGUUAGUGAAUAUCUUCCUUUUCUUUACCACAAAAGCACCUUAGUAUUGUAUUAACGAGUUGAAAGUAUUCUAUUAAUUUUGAUCAGUUGCACAUUCAUCUGGAUUUUCUCAGUUUGUCAAAAGUUGGAAUCCAAGAAGAUAACAACAUACAAAGAGAGAGAAAAAACAACUAUUAGCGAUGUUGGAGGUGUAUACAGAGAGAAGAAGGAACAACCAUUUUGAUAUUGGUACAAAAGCUGUAGCUGUUGGUGCUGGAUGGCAAGGCAUAGUUGAACAUUGGGUGUUUCUAUAUAUGUGGUAAUACCUAUUUGUUUUAUUGCUCAUCUACAAGAGGGAACUUGGAGUAGAGGGAAUCUGGACAGGAAUGCUAACAGGAACAGUUCUUCAGACGUGUGUACUGCAUUUGAUGGGAAGGCGAUAGAGGAGAAGAGACUUAAGAGAUUGAAGUUUGUCUCUAUCCUUAUAAGCUAUAAUGUUAGCUUUUUGGAUAAAACAGGGCAGCAUAUUAUAAGACUUGGUAUGAUAUGUAAGACUUGCUUAUAUUAACGUUAUGUUAUGUAUGUUGAUGAUUUAUGAAAUAAUUUUUUUAAAUAUCAA